rnacentral:rRNA from 1 species
GACGAACGCUGGCGGCGUGCUUAACACAUGCAAGUCGAACGGAAAGGCCCUGCUUUUGUGGGGUGCUCGAGUGGCGAACGGGUGAGUAACACGUGAGUAACCUGCCCUUGACUUUGGGAUAACUUCAGGAAACUGGGGCUAAUACCGGAUAGGAGCUCCUGCUGCAUGGUGGGGGUUGGAAAGUUUCGGCGGUUGGGGAUGGACUCGCGGCUUAUCAGCUUGUUGGUGGGGUAGUGGCUUACCAAGGCUUUGACGGGUAGCCGGCCUGAGAGGGUGACCGGCCACAUUGGGACUGAGAUACGGCCCAGACCCCUACGGGAGGCAGAAGUGGGGAAUAUUGCACAAUGGGCGGAAGCCUGAUGCAGCAACGCCGCGUGCGGGAUGACGGCCUUCGGGUUGUAAACCGCUUUCGCCUGUGACGAAGCGUGAGUGACGGUAAUGGGUAAAGAAGCACCGGCUAACUACGUG